UGCGUACAGCAUCAUUACGCCGUAAAUCUCCAAACGCAGAAAGUUUUUGCCACUCUUGUUUGUUUGCCAAAAGCGGAGAGCUAUGGAAAACUGGGAUGAAGUUUAUAAUUUUGUCUCUUCACAAGCAUAGCCUGCAGGGUAUAGUAAGGCACAGAAGCAAAAUAUGAGGAGAUUUGAUGAGAAGUUCAUACUGAAAGAACUCUGGUUUGUGAAGAGGAGAGUGGUGAAAACCAGAGAGGAAGCAAAGACUCUCUUCAUGGAAUUUCAUUCAUCUCCAAUUGGAGGGCACACAGGCAUAAGAAAAACAAGACAUGCUAUAUCUUCAAGGUUUUACUGGUUUGGCAUGUCAGUUGACAUUGAAAACUGGAUCUUGGAAUGUGACAAGUGCCAAAAGGUUGGUAAGCCUUUGGUUGCUGUUCAGACACUAGAAUGUAUUCAGGUAAAUACCCUGUCUUUUCAUUUCAUGCCUAAAUUUGCCAGUAAAUACAGCUUCCUGCAGCUGAAUCCUCCCAAGUCUGUCAUUCGGUCAUUAUGCAAAUUUGUGUGAUUUAAUUAUGGCUGUUAAAUGGUAGUAACUUGAAGUCAGUCUGGUGAGUAGUGGCUCCUUAUUUCUGCCUUGUGUAGGCAGAACACUGGCGUUUUUAGUCGGGAAAAUUGCCUCAUCAGUCAUGAUCCCCGCAGAAGGUUUUGCAGUUUAGAUGUCAGCAAAUGUAGUGAAUAUCGAACAUAAAACCAACUUCACCGCGGUUAAUGAAAUGUCAGUUACAAAAUAAACUUUUAUACAUCCAAACAGAGAAAGAAGUGCAAAACAGUAAAUGUUACUUGUGUGACCUUUACUGACGUACGUCACUGAUGGAAGCUCUCCUCGCCGACUAUAGGGAAGAACUGGGACAGCCACCACAUUUUACAUUUACAGUAUUUGCCAGACGCCCUUAGCCAGAGCGACUUACAUAAGUGCUUUGAGACUCUGCGAUGAAUUUCCAAUGCUAGCUCAAUAAGGACCCAAGCUGUGAAUACCAUCUGUCUGAAAACUCAGUUGAGAAGUGCAGAAUGUAUUUAUUUAUUUGUUUUUUUUUAAACACACACACCAGAAAAAAAGCCGAGUAAGAAUACAGAAGUACUACGUCAGGUAUUUCUGAAAAAGGAAUGUUUUGAGUCGUCGCUUGAAGACAUUCAAGGAUUCAGCUGUUCGGACAUCUAGGGGGAAUUCAUUCCACCAAUUAGGUGCCUGGACAGAGAAGAGCUGAGAUGUGUGUCUUCCACAGAUACAGCUGCAACACUGCAGAUUUCUCCAAUCAGAAAAUCAGAAACAAGCCACACCCAGUGUAUUUAGCGAGUUCAUUGACCCCUUUAGCAACGUUUUUUUUUUUCUUCAAAAAAGCGACUAGCGAAAAAUCUAGACACCGCACUCUUCCUCCUCUAGUUCCUGAGGGUCUGUUUAUAGGCCAGCAUGUGUCCUCUUCUGAACAAAGAAACGACCAACAAAUGCAUUAGACAUAAUUCAGAGGAAUAUUGUAUCUAAGCCAGCUGCAUUAUUUUAUUGGAAUAAUCUGUUUGAUGACAUAGAUUGAGAAUUUACUUGGAUGUUACCUAGAACUUUCAUUAUUUCGAAUAAGGUGCGGGAGGUAACUUUAAACAUUCUUCACUGCUGUUAUCCAGUGAAUUGUAAGAUUGCCAAAUUUAAAAGAGAUAUAAAUGUGUCCUGUUCUUUUGAAUGUAAUGCCUUUGAAACUAUAAUUUAUUUUGGGAUUUUAGAUACAGUAAGAUAUUCUAGACAGACCUCAAUAAUCACAUAAACACAGUCGCUGUUGUUUUAGUUCUCUUCUACGAUUUAUAUUGUCACAGUGAACUAUAUCCUAAGAUGUGCUUGCAAAAUGUUUGUAUAUAGUAUAGCAUUAAUAAAAAAGAGAAAAAAAAGGGCAGCGCGUCUGCGGGUCCUUGAGCAAGACCCUUAACCCCCAGCUCCCUGAGCGCCGCUACGGGUGGCAGCCCUUCACAGACAACUUACUCCACAAAGAGCAAGUUGAGGGAUGCGUAAAGAUAAUUUCCCUACAGGGGAUCA